CAGGCCUAACACAUGCAAGUCGAACGGUAACAUUUCUAGCUUGCUAGAAGAUGACGAGUGGCGGACGGGUGAGUAAUGCUUGGGAACUUGCCUUUGCGAGGGGGAUAACAGUUGGAAACGACUGCUAAUACCGCAUAAUGUCUUCGGACCAAACGGGGCUUAGGCUCCGGCGCAAAGAGAGGCCCAAGUGAGAUUAGCUAGUUGGUAAGGUAACGGCUUACCAAGGCGACGAUCUCUAGCUGUUCUGAGAGGAAGAUCAGCCACACUGGGACUGAGACACGGCCC
rnacentral:rRNA from 1 species